CUGAGACAUGAUGGGUCGAUUACUUUGGUAAUCGUAAGAGUGAUCCUAUGCUGCCUAGAAAAGCUUCGUGAGCGAGAUACUAGCCGCCCGUACCCCAAACCGACACAGGUGGAUAGGUAGAGAAUACUAAGGCGAUCGAGAUAACCAUGGUGAAGGAACUCGGCAAAAUACCCCCGUAACUUCGGAAUAAGGGGGACCUGAGACGUAUUAGAAUUUACUUCGAAAGCGUCGAGGGUCGCAGAGACCAGGCCCAAGCGACUGUUUACUAAAAACACAGGUCCGUGCUAAGUCGUAAGACGAUGUAUACGGACUGACUCCUGCCCGGUGCUGGAAGGUUAAGGGGAAGGGUUAGCUUCGGCGAAGCCUUGAACUUAAGCCCCAGUAAACGGCGGUGGUAACUAUAACCAUCCUAAGGUAGCGAAAUUCCUUGUCGGGUAAGUUCCGACCUGCACGAAUGGAGUAACGACUUGGGCGCUGUCUCCACCAUGGACUCGGCGAAAUUGCACUACGAGUAAAGAUGCUCGUUACGCGCAGCAGGACGGAAAGACCCCGGGACCUUCACUAUAGUUUGGUAUUGGUGAUCGGAGUGACUUGUGUAGGAUAGGUGGGAGACUUAGAAGCUUGGACGCCAGUUCAGGUGGAGUCAUCGUUGAAAUACCACUCUGGUCACUUUGGUUAUCUAACCUAGGUCCAUUAUCUGGAUCAGGGACAGUGCCUGAUGGGUAGUUUGACUGGGGCGGUCGCCUCCUAAAAGGUAACGGAGGCGCCCAAAGGUUCCCUCAGCCUGGUUGGCAAUCAGGUUUCGAGUGUAAGUGCACAAGGGAGCUUGACUGCGAGAGAGACAUCUCAAGCAGGGACGAAAGUCGGGACUAGUGAUCUUCUGGUGGCACAUGGAAGCGCCAGGACUCAACGGAUAAAAGGUACCCCGGGGAUAACAGGCUGAUCUUGCCCGAGCGUCCAUAGCGACGGCAUGGUUUGGCACCUCGAUGUCGGCUCGUCGCAUCCUGGGGCUGGAGUCGGUCCCAAGGGUUGGGCUGUUCGCCCAUUAAAGCGGCACGCGAGCUGGGUUUAGAACGUCGUGAGACAGUUCGGUCCCUAUCCGCUGCGCGCGUAGGAGUCUUGAGAAGAGCUGUCCUUAGUACGAGAGGACCGGGACGGACUAACCUCUGGUGUGCCAGUUGUUCUACCAAGAGCACGGUUGGUUGGCUACGUUGGGAAGUGAUAACCGCUGAAAGCAUCUAAGCGGGAAGCACGCUUCAAGAUGAGGGCUCCCACAGAAUAAUCUGGUAAGGCCCCCUAUAGACCAUGGGGUGAUAGGUCGGAUGUGGAAGUGCAGCAAUGCACGGAGCUGACCGAUACUAAUAGGCCGAGGGCUUGUUC
rnacentral:rRNA from 1 species